AAAAGAACAAACCUACAACAUAAUUAACUUGAACAAACCUACAACCUUAUAAUUUAAGCAAUACCACCUUAUAACUUAAGCAAAAGUAUAUCAGCUAGCAAAUGUAGCUUUGUAUUGUAACUUAAGCAAGAGUAUAAAUAAAAACCCUACGAAAAUUCUCUCUCUCCUGAUUUCUUCCCCAUUCCUCCCAAUUUUUUCCCCCUACAGAUUUCUUCCCCCGACCUAGAUUUCUUUCCCCACCCAAUUUCUUCUACCCCACCACCCAGAUCAAGAAUAUCAAAGAAAUUUUCCACUUGCAUGUUCGAAUGCCAUGGCCUACCGAAACCAUCUCCAUUCCUUUCCGGCAUACCCUCCACGAGAUUUGGCUAUUUCUAUGUCGGUGUGGGAGAUGAAGGGGGUGUGGGUGGGUUGUUGCUAGAGUGAGUGGUCAAUGAGGUGAAAUGGUGAGAUCCAUAUCGAAAUCCCAACACAGCCAUAGCUUCCCUGUGAGAUCCAUUCAACCAAUCUAACAAAUAAAAAUGAACAUUUAUAUGAAGAAAAUUGGAUCUAAAAAUGAUUUUGGCUUCUUCAAUUGGGUUUGUGUUGAUGCAGCGUUUGUCUGCUCAACCUUCAAUGCUAUCCAAUGUUAAUCUUCUUCAACACGAUUUUUCCUUUUCAUUCUAUGGUGAACCAAAGAGAGAGUCAAGAUCCAAAAAAUAGAGAGAGUGAAUAAGGUGGGGUUGUUAGAGUUCCUUCUUGGCUUUUCAUGGCAGAUCGAGAAUGAUGGCUACAUAUCAGAAUUAGAGUGGGGGACUGGAUUUAUGUAAGAAGAUCAGUUUGUUGGUUGUGGGAAUUGUUUUAAUCAUUUUAAAAGGUAACGGAAGGAGGAGGGAUGGUGGCUAGGGAUGAAAGCAGGGGACAGAGACAUAAAGGGGAUUUGAAGGGGUGGCUGAGGUCGUGAUGGGGUUGGCUGGGUGUAGAAGAGACUGUGAGAGAUUUUUUUGUUUUGAAUUUUGAAUUUUUGUUUAUUUAAUAUAAUUUAUCUUUUUUUAAUAUUUGAAAAGACAAAAGAAUUGUUUAUCAUAUAUUUUUUCCACAUGUAAGUCCACCUCAUUAAAAAUGGAACCCACAUUCGCCA